AACGCACCUUGCACUCCUUGGUAUUCCGAGGAGUAUGCCUGUUUGAGUGUCAUUAAAUUCUCAAACCUCGUUGGCUUUAUUGACAGCGAGGCUUUGGAUGUGGGGGCUGCUGGACUCUAACGAGAUCAGCUCUCCUUAAAUGCAUUAGUGGUUACUGUUUUCCACUACCAGGUGUGAUAAUAUCUACGCCUCGGUGGAAAUGUUAAGUGUAGCUGCUUUCUAACCGUCCAUGCAAUGUGGACAACUUGAAACAUUUGACCUCAAAUCAGGUAGGACUACCCGCUGAACUUAA
rnacentral:misc_RNA from 1 species